GAGAAGUGGGACUGGGAAGGAGGAGGGGACAAGGGAUGAGAUAUGGGGGAACUGGGCUUGGAGUUGGAUAAAGGCUUGGAUUGGAGAAAGAGAAGGCCUGUAGGCCUUAAAUGUUCAGUUUCUUUGGUUAUAGCCUGAAAAAAACCGAAUCAAACAAAAAAACCAAAACUAUUAGGAAUGGAUAACUGAACUGCAUUGAUUGAACCAAAUAACCAAACCAAAAAAAUUGAAUUGUUUUGGUUCGGUUUGGUUUUUCCAAUUAUAAUCGAAUAGUUUUCACCCCUACUUAAGAGGGAAUGUGUUACCUCCCUUCCCUAAGUCGGUUGUAGUUUAUAUUCUC
rnacentral:misc_RNA from 1 species